rnacentral:rRNA from 1 species
CCUACGGGAGGCAGCAGUGAGGAAUAUUGGUCAAUGGACGAGAGUCUGAACCAGCCAAGUAGCGUGAAGGAUGACUGCCCUAUGGGUUGUAAACUUCUUUUAUAAAGGAAUAAAACGAGGCACGUGUGCCUUUUUGCAUGUACUUUAUGAAUAAGGAUCGGCUAACUCCGUGCCAGCAGCCGCGGUAAUACGGAGGAUCCGAGCGUUAUCCGGAUUUCUUGGGGUUAAAGGGAGCGUAGAUGGGUUGUUAAGUCAGUUGUGAAAGUUUGCGGCUCAACCGUAAAAUUGCAAUUGAUACUGGCAGUCUUGAGUACAGUUGAGGUAGGCGGAAUGCGUGGUGUAGCGGUGAAAUGCUUAGAUAUCACGAAGAACUCCGAUUGCGAAGGCAGCUUACUAAACUGCCACUGACAUUGAUGCUCGAAAGUGUGGGUAUCAAACAGGAUUAGAUACCCGGGUAGUC